rnacentral:rRNA from 1 species
AUGUCAGGAACUCGGCCGACACAAUGUUGUGGCGACGUGCCGUGUGAAAGAUCAAGCGAGAGAUGGAGAGAUCCGCGUUGGGUGGCAUGUCACCUUUACCUUCACCAAACGUGCUCUAGGAGUCUAGGAAGGAUUGGGAGGCAAUCAGAUCAGUGUUGUGCACCAGGAAGCGAACCAUGGAUCCCCUCCCUCCCUCCUCCCUCGCCUCCUCCUCCCCCUCCUCCCCUCUUUGCCCUAGCUGUCCCGCUCCCUGCCCUGACCCGCUGGCCAGUGCCCGGUCAUCCCCCUCUCCGCUUGCAGGUGCUCUCUCUCUCCCCUCCCCUGGCUCCCCGCGGGUGGGGUUCUCCCCUCUGUCUUCUCCGCUGCCGGUGCUCGGAUCUCGUUUCUGGGCCCUUGCGUCUGAUGAGGAGGAUUCGUGGUCGUCGGUCCCUUCCCCCUGUGGUCCCGUGCCUUGUGCUGGGGGGUGGUGGUACCUCCCGCCGCUCCUCGUCCCCGCAAGUUCGCUCCUGGUGGCCGGGGCCGGUCGGUGGCCGCGUCUUCGUCGGUCGAUGGCUGGAUUCGGAUCUCUCGGCAGCGGCUGCGCCUGAUGGGGAGCUUGGUGGCCUCCCAUCCCCCUCUCCUGCAGCCUCUGCGGCGGCCUCGUCGCCGGCGGCAGCGACGGCGGGGUCGCUGGUGGCUUCGUGUAAUCUAGAUCUCGAUUUCUCCGCGGUGGCCAUCGGGCCGCGGGACGUCCCCUCGGGUGGGCUUGAUGGGCCUUGCGGUUUGUCGUUGCCCAGUGGGCCUGCCUCUCCUCCCCCUCUUUCGUCGGUGGCAGAUUUCCCCCCUCUGGUCCCGUCCGGCCCAGUUGGGCCCAUCGUCCGGGUUCCUGCUCCUCAACGUUCUUUGGCCCAUGUGGCGAGUCGGGCCGAGGUGGGCACGGCUCGGACGGGCUAUUUAUGGAUCCCCCGCGGCUCUUCCUCCCCUUUGCUAGGGUUUUCGGUUUCCGCUUCCGAUCUACGCCGUCACCGUCUUCCCAUUCGUCGCCUCAUUAGAUCCUCCCCACCUCCACCCCUCCUCCUUCCUUUUGCUGUGGUGCUAUCCAUGGACAAGUCGCGGGGCUCUUCCUGCGAGGCGCUCUCGGGCAGCAAGCGACGCCGUGAGGACUCCCCUUCCUCCGUGGUGGAUCUGGAGCUCGAGGCUUCGCUCCGUUCCAAGUUGGAGGCGGAACAGGCGGCGCGCGAGCAGGUGGCUCGUGACCGCGAGGCUCGGACUUCAGGUCUGGAGUGGUCGCAGCGCUCGGAGAGGGUUGGUGUGCCCGGAUCCGGCCCGCAGGGCUCUGGAUCUGGCCAUUCUCUCUCUCGGGUGCUGGACCCGUGGGAGGCGGCGGUGGCCUCUGGUGGUGGUGUUUCUUCGUCUUCUGCCUCCCUUCCUGCUCCGGGAGUGGGCCGAGGUCCAUCUGCUCCGUCGUGCCCUCCUCCUCCUCCUCCUCGCUUGGUUGGGGUUGGUGCUGGUGCUCGUCCGCCGCCUCGGUCCUUUGCGGGGCCGGCACGUCGGCCGCCCGGUCCGGCCUCUGGGGCGCCCCCUUUUCCGGGGAUGGGGGAUGGGAUCCUUCCUCCUCCUCCGUCGCUUCCGCAAUCCCGCCCGUCCUCUUCUUCCCAUAACAACCCCUCGGCGCUCACCUGCUUCGCUUGUCACAGGCCUGGCCAUUUCCAGUCUCGCUGCACCAACCCUCCUUUUUGCCUGAUUUGUCGCUCUGAUGGUCACCUCACGGUCAAUUGCAUGGCUAGGCAGAAACCUCCCGCGGAUCAAAAGAUUUCGCCCCAAAUUCUUCUGGAAGGGCUUCACAUUUUGGAUGAGGCUGGAUGGGACUGGCAAGUUGUGCAGAUAUCUAAAUUUGAGUUCUCUGUGGUGUUUCCCUCCAAAGAAUGUUUGCGGAUGAUUGCCUCAUGCACUAGCUUCACCUUGCCUCUCAAUCAAUUGGUGGUUUCUGUUAAAGCGGCUUCUUGCAGUGGUACGGCAGUUGGUCCUCUCUCUCAAGUCUGGGUUUUGAUUGACGAUUUGCCUGCUGGUCUCCGUUCGUCUGCUUUUCUCAUGUCUUUUGGGGUUCUGAUUGGGAAGCCCAUCGAGGUGGAUGAAGACUCUCUGAACAAGGUUGGCCCUGCUAGGAUGAAGGUUUGGUGUGUGGAUGCUGAACGGGUCCAUGGCUCGAUUGAUAUCUUCCCUUCUCCCAAUGGUAUUAAGCUUCGGGUGCGGGUGGAGGGGGCGGCUGCUUUUCAGACUCCACCUCCCCCUCCUCCCCCUUCUAACCCUUCGGACAAGCAUGAUAAGGAGGGGGAUGGAUCUCUGGGUGGCCCUAAUCAGAGCCAUGGGUCUAACCUCCCCUUCACCCAAUCUGAAUGGGAUGGUUUGGCAGAUUCUGAACGUGAGUUGUUUCAAUCCCAAGCUCCCUCUGGUGUUGCUCCUCGUGAUGAUUCGGUGAUCCCGUCUGCUGCUCCCAAUGUCCCUGCUGCUGGUGCUGAUAUGUCGAAGUUCCCGCCCUGCUCUGCUACCCCCGUUUUUGGUGCUUGCUCCAAUCUUCCUGUCCGCCCGCUCUCCCCCACUCGAUCGGGAAUUGAAGAUCUUCCGGCCUCCUCGGCUCGUGAUGUGGUGGAAUCCCAGUCCCUCCGGAAGAAGAAAUCCUCAAUGCGCAAAUUCUCGGCUAAGUGCCGGAACUCGUCGGGCUUGAAGCACUCCAUGACGGGGGUUUGUCGGUGUCUUGAUCAAGAUUUGGGAUCUAUGUCCCGUUCGAGUCCCCAUGUUGGCUCUCUUGCUGCGCGGUCGCCUGCGAUUCGAUCCCUUGUGUCCACGGCUCGCAAAGGAAGGCGGGUGGCGAAUUCAGGUGUUUCUGUCCUGGAGCGGGCUGAAAAGCGGGCUGCGGCGAAGGAUCUCCCUCCCCCAGGUACAUCUCCCGUUCACUCUGUUGUUGCUUCUCCGGUUCGGUUGGUUCUACCUUCUCUUUCGGAUGAUCAUCUUUUAAAUAUUAUGUCGGAUGUGGGGGUGGUGGUUGAUUCGUCUGUUGGUUCUCCUAGUUCUCUUCUUGCUAUUAUUCGGGCUAACGAGAUGGCUCAGGCUGCCAUUGCCAAAGCCAAAGAGGCCGUUGCCUCUCAGGUAGGGGCUUCUAGUAGUGGUCUGGUCGUGGACGCGGGCGCUGGUAGUGGCCAGCCCCAAUCCAACUUGUCUAAAAGGGGCACCAAUAAGCGUGCUAAACCCUGCGUGGCCCCUUGCAGGGGGUUCGGUGCUAGGGGGCGCCAUGACCAACUUAAAGAUCUGGUUCGUUCUAACUCUAUUGACUUUGUGGGGUUGGUAGAAACCUUCAAGGAAUCCUUCUCCCCUAAUGACUUUUCUGCUAUUGUGGGCAUGGACAGAUUUAAUUGGAACUUUUUACCUACUUCGGUGCACUCUGGCGGGAUCUUGAUAGGCUCCAAUAAAGAUAUUUUUGAUUUUGUUGCUUUUGAUCAUGGGAUCUUUUGGGCCAGUGUUGUUCUCUCUCAUAAAGCUCAGAAUACUCUUUGUGAGUUUAUCGUCGUCUAUGGGCCUGCGGACCAUUCCUUGUCGCCUUUAUUUCUUAAUGAACUUUCGUUGAAGAACGAUGCUUGUAAUUUACCGAUGGUUAUCGGGGGAGACUUUAACGUUCUGCGGUGCCCUAAUGACAAAAGUAAUGAUAACUUCUCCUGGCCGCUGGCUAAUGCCUUUAACGACUUCAUUAGUGCCAAUGCUAUUCGUGAGCUGCCUCAGGGGGGAGCUCGUUAUACCUGGUCCAAUCAUCAGUCAAUCCCUAUUAGAUCAGUGCUUGACAGAGUCUUCCUUUGUCCCAGGUGGGAUUCCUUGUUCCCUAGGGCCUCUCUUUACGCCAAAUGCAUUAUCGGUUCCGAUCAUACCCCCUUAAUUCUUGACGAUGGUUCCAUUAGCCUCAGGCCUCCGGCUAGAUUUCAAUUUGACGCCUCCUGGUUGGAUGUGGAUGGCUUUGUCGAUAUGGUUGCGGCGAAGAUCUCCCUUUCUCUAUCAUCCAAUGCUCGCUCCUUUGGGCCUUUGGAUGAUUGGCAUUCGUGUUCCUAUAACCUGCGUAAAUUCCUCAGAGGUUGGUCUCGUAAUCAUGCGGCGGAGGAUCGUCGCACCAAAUCUUUCCUCGAAGACCAGAUCUUGUCGAUGGAUCGCGCGGCUGAUUCUAUUGGGCUCUCUGACGAUGGUUGGGCGUCUGUUAUUAUGGCUCAUGUGGUGGAUUUCUUCUCUUCGUUGUUGGGGGCUAAACCUCCAUCGGGCUUCUCCAUUUCUCCCUCCCUUUGGAACUUAGGUCUUAAAAUCUCACCCGAGGAGAAUGCCUCUUUGAUAAUCCCUCUUUCUGAUCAGGCAAUUUGGGAUGUUGUUAACACUGCCAAUCCUAAUGCUGCUUCUGGGUCAGACGGCUUCUCUAUUCCUUUCUUUCGGAAAUUCUGGCCCCAGUUGAAACAGCUGGCCUUCCUAUCUCUCCUGGCGUGCUCCAUGCUAAAGAUUUCGCUCCGGCGGUCGCUAAAGUGGGGAACAGGGUGCUCCCUUGGAGAGGCAGAUAUAAUACCAAUGCUGGCAAAUCCUCUUUUGGUUGGACUGGUGGUCGGGGAUGCCCCCCUCGCUGAGAGUUUUCCGGUUUUGUUCUCUUACUGUCCUAAUCCGGGUAUCUCCAUCGCGGAGGUGGCGGCUAAUAACUGGGAUCUGGCCUUUCGUCGGGCCCUGUCUCCUGAAGAGUUGGAAGAUUGGCAAAGUCUCUCUGCCCUCUUCCCCGUGCUCUCGGAGUCGGCCGAUUCUGUAGUCUGGCCUCAUUCGGCCUCAGAUAGAUUUACGGUCAAGUCACUUUAUUCUAGACUUAUUGGUGCACAUCACAGAGGUUCGUUGCGGCGUCCCCUUUCCCGCCAUCGCGUCGCCUUCGCACCCACCCACCCGGCUCCCUUCACUCCCAAGCCACCCAGCCAGCCAGCCAGCUACGACGACCCAACCAACGCCACCGCGAUCGCCGGCCGGUCACCUUCUGUAUACAUAUACUCCCCUGCCACAGAUCUGGCCAGAGCAGUCACCAGCGACACACUCUGCAGCACCGAAGCAGGGUAG